rnacentral:rRNA from 1 species
AGCAGCCGCGGUAAUUCCAGCUCCAAUAGCGUAUAUUAAAGUUGUUGCAGUUAAAAAGCUCGUAGUUGAACUUCAGGCCUGGCUGGGCGGUCCGCCUUCCGGGUGAGUACUGCCUGUGGUCGGGUCCUACCUUCUGGCGAAGCGUCAUGGCCUUAACCGGCCGUGGCGGGGAACCAGGACUUUUACUGUGAAAAAAUUAGAGUGUUCAAAGCAGGCACGCGCUUGAAUACAUUAGCAUGGAAUAAUGGAAUAGGACAGUGGUUCUAUUUGUUGGUUUCUAGGACCGUUGUAAUGAUUAAUAGGGAUAGUUGGGGGCAUUAGUAUUCAAUUGUCAGAGGUGAAAUUCUUGGAUUUAUUGAAGACUAACUACUGCGAAAGCAUUUGCCAAGGAUGUUUUCAUUAAUCAAGAACGAAAGUUAGGGGAUCGAAGACGAUCAGAUACCGUCGUAGUCUUAACCAUAAACUAUGCCGACUAGGAAUCGGGCGAUGUUGACAAAAUGACGCGCUCGGCACCUCAUA